rnacentral:rRNA from 1 species
GAUGAACGCUGGCGGCGUGCUUAACACAUGCAAGUCGAGCGAGAAGUUUUGAAAAGAUUCUUCGGAUGAAAUUUAAAAUGGAAAGCGGCGGACGGGUGAGUAACGCGUAGGCAACCUGCCCCAUACAAAGGGAUAGCAUUUGGAAACGAAUAUUAAUACCUUAUGAAACUUAACUAGUGCAUGCUAGGUAGGUCAAAGAUUUAUCGGUAUGGGAUGGGCCUGCGUCUGAUUAGCUAGUUGGUGAGGUAACGGCUCACCAAGGCGACGAUCAGUAGCCGACCUGAGAGGGUGAACGGCCACAUUGGAACUGAGACACGGUCCAAACUCCUACGGGAGGCAGCAGUGGGGAAUAUUGCACAAUGGGGGAAAGCCUGAUGCAGCAACGCCGCGUGAACGAUGAAGGCCUUUGGGUCGUAAAGUUCUGUUCUAGGUGAUGAAAACUGACAGUAACCUAGGAGAAAGCCCCGGCUAACUCCGUG